AGAGUUUGAUCAUGGCUCAGAUUGAACGCUGGCGGCAGGCCUAACACAUGCAAGUCGAGCGGUAGCACAGAGAGCUUGCUCUCGGGUGACGAGCGGCGGACGGGUGAGUAAUGUCUGGGAAACUGCCUGAUGGAGGGGGAUAACUACUGGAAACGGUAGCUAAUACCGCAUAAUGUCGCAAGACCAAAGUGGGGGACCUUCGGGCCUCAUGCCAUCAGAUGUGCCCAGAUGGGAUUAGCUAGUAGGUGGGGUAACGGCUCACCUAGGCGACGAUCCCUAGCUGGUCUGAGAGGAUGACCAGCCACACUGGAACUGAGACACGGUCCAGACUCCUACGGGAGGCAGCAGUGGGGAAUAUUGCACAAUGGGCGCAAGCCUGAUGCAGCCAUGCCGCGUGUGUGAAGAAGGCCUUCGGGUUGUAAAGCACUUUCAGCGGGGAGGAAGGCGAUAAGGUUAAUAACCUUGUCGAUUGACGUUACCCGCAGAAGAAGCACCGGCUAACUCCGUGCCAGCAGCCGCGGUAAUACGGAGGGUGCAAGCGUUAAUCGGAAUUACUGGGCGUAAAGCGCACGCAGGCGGUCUGUCAAGUCGGAUGUGAAAUCCCCGGGCUUAACCUGGGAACUGCAUUCGAAACUGGCAGGCUAGAGUCUUGUAGAGGGGGGUAGAAUUCCAGGUGUAGCGGUGAAAUGCGUAGAGAUCUGGAGGAAUACCGGUGGCGAAGGCGGCCCCCUGGACAAAGACUGACGCUCAGGUGCGAAAGCGUGGGGAGCAAACAGGAUUAGAUACCCUGGUAGUCCACGCCGUAAACGAUGUCGAUUUGGAGGUUGUGCCCUUGAGGCGUGGCUUCCGGAGCUAACGCGUUAAAUCGACCGCCUGGGGAGUACGGCCGCAAGGUUAAAACUCAAAUGAAUUGACGGGGGCCCGCACAAGCGGUGGAGCAUGUGGUUUAAUUCGAUGCAACGCGAAGAACCUUACCUGGUCUUGACAUCCACAGAACUUUCCAGAGAUGGAUUGGUGCCUUCGGGAACUGUGAGACAGGUGCUGCAUGGCUGUCGUCAGCUCGUGUUGUGAAAUGUUGGGUUAAGUCCCGCAACGAGCGCAACCCUUAUCCUUUGUUGCCAGCGGU
rnacentral:rRNA from 1 species